CUUUCCACUAACUUUUUUACGCUUCCUCUAAGUGGUUUUCUGUUCAGACAGGGAAAAAACCGGCCAGCGGUUUUCACGACACCUGGAAAGCGAACGCUGGGGCUGCGUUUUCUCGAGAAAUCGUUUUCUCAUGAAACAAACAGUUGUCUUUCUCUGUUUUUCUUAGCGAGAGAACUGUACUUGUUUUUUGGAGGUCUUAGUUUUGUUUGAGUGAAAAUUGAGAGAAACUUCUGUACUACUGCUUGAGCUCAGCAAAUGUGUAAAGACUUGUGACUUAAUACUUUCAGUUAAACUUUCAAAAGUGUUUAUCGGAGCAUGGGAGUUGUUGUUACAGAUGGUGGAAUGAGGAUCUAGAUUUGACAAAAAUUGGUUGUUGGUUUUAGUGAUCUUGAAUAUUUGUGGACUUGUGCAUGGAAACAAGAGAAGGAUUAACUUCAGGGGUUACAGUGAUAGGAGCUGAAGCUCCAUCAACUUAUCAUGUGGCGCCAAGGACUGAAAAUACUAGCCAGAUGGGAUUGGCCGGAGCUGUGUCACCGCUUAGUGUGGGAUUGACUGGAACAACGGAGAAGAAGAAGAGGGGUAGGCCUAGGAAAUAUGGGCCGGAUGGGACAGUAGCUAGGGCAUUGUCGCCAAUGCCAAUUUCUUCUUCAGCUCCACCUGGUGGAGACUUCUCUGGCGGAAAGCUGGGUAAAGUAUGGUUUGAAAAAAAGAAGUACAAGAAAGUGGGAACGGAGAAUUCAG
rnacentral:misc_RNA from 1 species